GAGGAGACCAAGUAAACCUACAUGGCUAAAUCCAAAAUGAAGCCGCUGUUUCUUUUAGUUUGUGUUCUCUUAGCUUCCUCUUUCUUUAUUCCCAUGUCUGCCAUGCCUAUCCAGAACCAAUCCUUGGGUGGAAAACGCAAUGAAAUUGGAUGUGGUCGUGGAAUGAAAUGCAUACCAAAGGCAGCGCCUCGUAAGUGUAAAAGUCCUUACAGCAAGUCAUGCAACCCGCCCUGAAUGUGGUAGAAAAUAAAGCUAUGGACCUAUGGAUGCUAUGUUAUUAUGUCUAUGCCUAUGGAUAUGGAUAUGGGUAAAGUUAUGCUAAUAAUAAAUUAACAAAUAAAUAAAGUUUCCCCCAUGCCUCAUGGCCCAUGGCAAUGACCACAUCAUCAUCAAUGAAGUUCUUGCAAUGAUCGUAUCAUUACUUUCAUGACUACUAGUUUGUAUGUGUUAUGUUUAAUAAAUUAUGGAGUCCUUUUAUGUUGAGAAA